rnacentral:rRNA from 1 species
UACGGAGGGGGCUAGCGUUGUUCGGAAUUACUGGGCGUAAAGCGCACGUAGGCGGCUUUACAAGUUAGGGGUGAAAGCCUGGAGCUCAACUUCAGAAUUGCCCUUAAGACUGCAUCGCUUGAAUCCAGGAGAGGUGAGUGGAAUUCCGAGUGUAGAGGUGAAAUUCGUAGAUAUUCGGAAGAACACCAGUGGCGAAGGCGGCUCACUGGACUGGUAUUGACGCUGAGGUGCGAAAGCGUGGGGAGCAAACAGG